ACCAUUAGAGUGAAAAAAAUUUUGUUUUGGUUUUGAAAUUUUAAUUAAAAGUUGUAAAGUUUUCAGAAAGGUAAAAUUUUGGAAGACUAAGAAUCUUGAGAAGAAUUUUUUAAAAAUUCUAAAGAGAAACUAGGAUUAGAUACCCUAUUAUUUAGAGAAAAAAUAAAUUAGGUAGUAGUAGAAGGCUUGAAACUUAAAGAAUUUGGCGGUGUCUUAAUCUUAUCAGAGGAACUUGUAUUUUAAUUCGAAAUUACUCGUUUAAUUUUACUUGAGUUUUUGUUUGUAUAUCGUCGUAAAAAUAAAACUUUGAAGUGUAUAUUUUAAAAAGAAAUUCUGAAAAUUACAGAUCAAGGUUCAGCGGAUAUUCAAGCAAGAUAUGAGUUACAAUAUAAAUUAUAUACUGACGGAAAGGGGCUUGAA
rnacentral:rRNA from 1 species